GAUGAACGCUAGCGGCAGGCCUAAUACAUGCAAGUCGAGGGGCAGCACGGUAGCAAUACUGGUGGCGACCGGCGCACGGGUGCGUAACACGUAUACAAUCUGCCUUUAACAGGGGGAUAGCCUUUCGAAAGAGAGAUUAAUACCCCAUAACAGUUUGACUGGCAUCAGUUGAAUUUGAAAGCUCCGGCGGUUAAAGAUGAGUAUGCGUUUGAUUAGCUAGUAGGUGAGGUAACGGCUCACCUAGGCGACGAUCAAUAGGGGAUCUGAGAGGAUUAACCCCCACACGGAUACUGAGACACGGAUCCGACUCCUACGGGAGGCAGCAGUAAGGAAUAUUGGACAAUGCCCGCAAGGGUGAUCCAGCCAUGCCGCGUGCAGGAAGAAGGCCCUAUGGGGUCGUAAAACUGCUUUUUACACCGGAGAAAAACCUUCCCUCGUGAGGGGAGCUGAUAGUAUGGGUGAGAACUAAGCAAUCGGCUAACUUCGUGCCAGCAGCCGUACGG
rnacentral:rRNA from 1 species